UUUCAAACACAUUGUUUCACUUACAGUAUUUUCUUUUUUUCCCUUGGAAUCCCAAAAGGAAGUUCAAAAGGAGUGAUUCCCUCUUACAAAACCACAUCUCAUUGCCAGCUUUGCCUCAAUGAAAGCAAAGUAUUUCAAGUCGUACUGAAGAAGAGGUGGUUGUGUUCCGCCGAGGGAAGAUUACGUAUCGCGAUCUUCCUGUGCGUGGGUUUGCAUUAAGACGAUGGGAGCUCUUUACUGUAGCUGUCAAAGUGGUCUUAUACCAAGUCAAGAAACCCACCGGUGAAGAAUUGCAGGACAAGUGGAUCACUCAGACUAAAAAGACAUGAAGAAAAUAAACGGCAGGCGGUCUGUCAUCUGCAACGCACUGAAGGUCUUCAACUUCUGCUUGUGAUGCAGACAUUUUCCAGCUGACCGAGAAUGGAAGAGGUUCUCGACUGCACUUCAACAGGGUGUUGGCCCCAUUAUCAAUGCAGCAUCAUCUUGGGUUCCAAGUGAGCAGUGUCUGGCACGCUGAAGCGAACGCACCCCACGUGACGCUCUGGACCAGUGUCUUCAGUGGAGCUCCUGGUCUCAGCUGGCUAUAAUAAGCACUACUGAUGAAGAGCAUCUGCUGGCUGAUUCCAGUCAUCCAAACCUAUUUCAAACUCCAGUCAAGAUUCUCUCACUGUUUGCUCUCCAAAUCCUCCUCACUGCUGUUGGACGUGCAAAACUGAAGAUGCUUCAUUUGCUAUUACAGGCCCCUUUAGCCUCAAAACACCAUGAUAGGAAAGUAAUUACACCAAGCCUCACAGUGCGUAUGUGAACGGAAUAAGAAAUGUAUCAGGUAGAAACUCAUUUAUAAAAACUUGAACAUUUGCAAAUAAUGGGAUAGCUUUGCCAAAAAUGGAAUUCUGUACGACCUGUAUAUAUAUUGUAUGUAUUAUUAUUUUUUUUACUUUGUUCAUUCAUAGAACAUGUAUUCAUAGAACAGCAUUCAGGUUUCGACGUGAGGGUAAAAAAUAAUUUCAGCAUCUAUGCCACGUCACCACAAUUGAACAUAAUUUUCCCAGUUUUAAUGCGGAAGUUCCAUUAUCAAAUGUCUACAACACCACAGCAGAGACAAAGGGAAGUUGUUAUGAAUAAACACUUGAAAUGAAUUCCAUUAAUGCUAACUGGAGUGUCUCAUCUAAUAUACAUUCCCUUUGAUCAAAGAGCCACGGAGGAGAGAGCCUCCAAGUUUUUCUUUCAUUAUUAGAGGCUUAUGGAAAUUUGCAAGGAUAUUGAAGGGGAAAAACGAUAAUGGCUUUGCAGCUUAUCCUUCAUGACCGCAGACCACUAGGUUUAUUCCAGUUUGUUCAUUUACAAACAAAGUUUUCUGUGCCAGUUGUUGCGUGAUUUAUUCAGUUGCAAUGGGAAAUUGAGUAAUCAGAGCAUAGGCCGAUGUACUUACACAAAUGUAAUACGAUGCAGUUUAAUACGAAAAAACAUAUAACAUCCGAACAAAACCAAGAUGUUCUGGGAAAUAUUUACUCGGAGACAUCAGAUAUCUCAGCGUUAUUAAGAGCUCAGUGAAAUAUGCAGGCAAUACUUUCUGUGUUUGAAAAUCAUUAUUUCAGUCACCGUGUGCGUUCAAAUUUGAAAUUAUACAUCAUUAGCUAGUUCACAGAGGGUUCAAGUGAGGAUUCAAGAGUCUGGAGUGAAAUAAAUGAAAAGUGUCUUCCUGCUGAUGUUGUGUAUUGAAGUGAUAUAGACUGUCUGACAAGUUAAAUGAAGGUACGAAUAACUUCACAUCAGAAGGUAAUGAUCUUGGUAUGAAAGUUAAUGGUGGAAAAAGUUUGUCCAAACAGAUUUAAAGAUAAGAUUGAGAGGAAGCAAAGAAACAUAUAUAAUCAGUAACACACAACAAUAUAAAAUGAAGCUGUCUUAGUGGAUCAUAACUGCUGUUUUAAAGUAUUAAUUCAUAGAAAAAAUGUGACAAAAACAGAAUGUACCCAAGUUUAUGAAGCAACAAUAUGAAAAUGGUAUUUACAACAACAACAAAAAGCAGUAAUGCAUUUAUGAAUGAAUGAAUGGAUGUACAUUCAUCUCACUGAGUGUCACAACUAUAACCAAUGAGAAAGAAAGAAAUAAAGAAAGAAAGAAAGAAAGAAAGAAAGAAAGAAAGAAAGAAAGAAAGAAAGAAAGAAAGAAUAUACAUGUUAAAAUAGCAGGAUUCUGCUAUCUGUACUACUUAUUUCAAAUAGUGGCAAUUAUCUUAACUCCAGUAUUAUAGUACUUUAAAAAACAAUAUGCCAUAAUAACUUAUUGAAUGUACAUUUUAAUAAAGCCUUUCAAUUUCUAUACAUACCUUUAACCUACCCGAUUUUUAACUUUUUGAUGUUUAUGCAAAACAAAUGCUUUUCUAAUGCGAUUUUAAAAAAACAGUUUACCAAAAGGCAGAUUCUAAUUCUGGUAGAUCACGUCAAAUUGAGUACAACACAUGUUUUACCAUCUGCACCACUGGAGCUGACAACAGUCAACUGUCUUUUGUAACGUUGACUAGUCCACUCACAAGUUGGUGAGCUGAGUUAGUGUGUCUACCGAAAUAGUGUGCUAUUUACAUUUAGUGUAAAAGGGGAACAAAAUUAAAUAAAAUAAAGGGUUUUGCUUUACUGUCUCUUUUGUUGGCCACCUUAGGACCAAAGUCUUCAGUAACUUGGAGCACUAUGAACAGUAUGCCACUUUCUACAUGCCAGUAUAAUACUUACUUAAUUGAAAUGAUAUGUCAUGUUUAAAAGCAUUGACGUUUUCAGUAGGCAUCAAGAAACACUCUGAAAGAACAUAUUUAUUAGUAAGUAAGUCAUUUAAAUUGUAAUAAUUGUAUAAUUUAAAUCAUUUAUUUAAAUAAAAUUGCACCUGCCCUCUUCGCAAAUCACAGAUGAAAUGCAUUGUCGUGAUUUAUUCAUGCAUGUAAUUAUUUAUAUAUUUUUACGGGGGGGUCAUUCAGAGCUCAACAGUUAGUCCUCACAGGUCUUGUAUAUCUAAUCAGUCCCCUACUGUACAUGCUCUUUCAUUUCCUGCAAAAUCAGCUCAAGUGUGCUCAGGAACUUCUGGGGGCCAGUGUUUCAAAGCUUUGUUCUCAAAAGAAGAACCCCGGUUUACGAGUACUGCGCAGGGAGUCGAACAGCGGUCCAAAGGUUAAUGUGCACACGAGUGCUGGUCCUUUCAUCUGUUACACUUACAGAUCAUUGCCUCACGCUGCCAAACGUAGCAGGGCCCCUAGUCACUUCAGAGGGGAAAACAAGUGAGGUC